rnacentral:rRNA from 1 species
ACGGGGCCGCACAAGCGUGGAGCAUGUGGUUUAAUUCGAAGCAACGCGAAGAACCUUACCAGGUCUUGACAUCCCGAUGCUAUUUCUAGAGAUAGAAAGUUACUUCGGUACAUCGGUGACAGGUGGUGCAUGGUUGUCGUCAGCUCGUGUCGUGAGAUGUUGGGUUAAGUCCCGCAACGAGCGCAACCCCUAUUGUUAGUUGCCAUCAUUCAGUUGGGCACUCUAGCGAGACUGCCGGUAAUAAACCGGAGGAAGGUGGGAUGACGUCAAAUCAUCAUGCCCCUUAUGACCUGGGCUACACACGUGCUACAAUGGUUGGUACAACGAGUUGCGAGUCGGUGACGGCGAGCUAGUCUCUUAAAGCCAAUCUCAGUUCGGAUUGUAGGCUGCAACUCGCCUACAUGAAGUCGGAAUCGCUAGUAAUCGCGGAUCAGCACGCCGCGGUGAAUACGUUCCCGGGCCUU